rnacentral:rRNA from 1 species
GAGUUUGAUCCUGGCUCAGAACGAACGCUGGCGGCGUGGAUAAGACAUGCAAGUCGAGCGAAACGAGUUUGAUGGUAACUGAUGACGAGUUUAGCGGCGAACGGGUGAGUAACACGUAAGAAUCUGCCCAGAAGACGGGGAUAGCCUUGGGAAACCAGGAUUAAUACCCGAUGUGGAGGAAACUCUAAAUGAUGCAAAUCGCUUCUGGAUGAGCUUGCGGUCCAUCAGUUUGUUGGUGGGGUAACGGCCUACCAAGGCAUCGACGGAUAGCUGGUCUGAGAGGACGGUCAGCCACACUGGAACUGAGACACGGUCCAGACACCUACGGGUGGCAGCAGUCGAGAAUCAUUCACAAUGGGCGAAAGCCUGAUGGUGCGACGCCGCGUGGGGGAUGAAGGCCUUAGGGUCGUAAACCCCUGUCAGCUGUGAGUAAGGCCCGGCCUACGUCGGGAUUGAUAUUAACAGCAAAGGAAGGGGCGGCUAACUCCGUGCCAGCAGCCGCGGUAACACGGAGGCCCCGAGCGUUGUUCGGAUUCACUGGGCGUAAAGCGUGAGUAGGUGGCAAGGCAAGUUUGGCGUGAAAGCCCCGGGCCCAACCCGGGAAGGUCGUCGAAAACUGCCUGGCUAGAGGACCGGAGGGGAGUCUGGAAUUCCCGGUGUAGCAGUGAAAUGCGUAGAUAUCGGGAGGAACAUCAGUGGCGAAGGCGAGACUCUGGACGGUUCCUGACACUGACAACACGAAGGCCAGGGGAGCGAACGGGAUUAGAUACCCCGGUAGUCCUGGCAGUAAACGGUGUGCACUUGCUGUAGGGGGAUUCGACCCCUUCUGUGGCGGAGCUAACGCGUUAAGUGCACCGCCUGGGGAGUACGGCCGCAAGGCUAAAACUCAAAGAAAUUGACGGGGGCCCGCACAAGCGGUGGAGCAUGUGGCUUAAUUCGAUGCAACGCGAAGAACCUUACCUGGGCUUGACAUGCUUGGUCAUACCUGCCUGAAAGGGCGGGGUCAGUUCGGCUGGACCUUGCACAGGUGCUGCAUGGCUGUCGUCAGCUCGUGUCGUGAGAUGUUGGUUUAAGUACCGCAACGAGCGCAACCCCUGUGUCCUGUUGCCACCCGGUUGUUUCCGGAGCACUCGAGACAGACUGCCUCAUUUGAAUGAGGAGGAAGGUGGGGAUGACGUCAAGUCAGUAUGGCCCUUACGCCCAGGGCUGCACACGUGCUACAAUGCCUGGCACAAUGGGAAGCAAGACCGCGAGGUGGAGCAAAUCCCCAAAACCAGGCUCAGUUCGGAUUGGAGUCUGCAAUUCGACUCCAUGAAGUUGGAAUCGCUAGUAACGGCGCAUCAGCUACGGCGCCGUGAAUACGUUCCCGGGCCUUGUACACACCGCCCGUCACAUCAUGAAAGCCGGGAGCACCCGAAGUCUGCGAUUACGUGGCCGAAGGUGAAUUUGGUAAUUGGGAUGAAGUCGUAACAAGGUAACC